rnacentral:SRP_RNA from 1 species
CGCCGGUUCCUUCGCGACGACGAGCCGCCAACCCCGUCAGGCCCGGAAGGGAGCAGCGGUAACGGCCACGUCGUGCGCCGAAGUUCGGCCGGCGCGG